rnacentral:tRNA from 1 species
GCCUUCGUGGUGUAGUGGUGAGCACGCUCAGCCCGUAUACGAGAGAUCCGUGGUUCGAGUCCCGGCGAGGGCA